AGGAAAAGGAAAGGAUGAACAUGAAAAUUUAGUAUGGUUGGUUUUGGCAUGGUUUUGGUUAGGGUGUCUAUUCACCUUUGAAUUAUUAUUUUAUAAUCAAAUCAAUCGAUUAUAAACUAAUAGCUAACGAUUAACUUUUGUGGCAAAUAUUUUCCAAACAUUGUUUACUAAUCACUAUGCAAAUAACCAUGGACCUAAUAAUCGUGGACUGAGCAGAGCCUAAUUUAUAUGAUGAGUGCAGAAGAAACGUCACCUAGUGCUCAACAGAGUGCAUUGUAUGCGGGAUGUGUAGUGCAGUGACCAACGCAGCCCCUUCUGGAGUACAGAACUCUCCUGUUAGCCGAGUCGUCUACAUUCACAAGUGUUCCGCCUGCCAUACACAGUUGGGAUCAUACACACAACAAGUGUAACAAUUGACAAGCAAGUGAAGUACUCAAGAUAUUAAUAUUGAAGAUGGAUCCAUCAAAGCUUGCUGGACUACCGUGGGGUGUAUGGGAAGAUUAUUUGGAGAAAAGAAAAGAGCAGAUGAGUAUGCUUGAUAGUAAGAUAAACAAACUACAUAAGGAAGACAAGGAUAUGUUUGGUAUAGUUGUCGAUGCUGAACCAUUAAAUCUUAUCGUUUGUGAUAAGUGUAACAUGGUUCUAAAGCCAGCAGCACUGCUUCGUCAUUAUUUUAUCAGGCACUCAAACAUAAUGAAUGAAAACAGUUCACCUGACGAAUUUUCACCUCAAUUAGAUUUGAAAGAUGCGGAAAAGGUUGUUUCGAUGAACAAUAACAUUUCUACUAUCCCAGAUAUUGAUUCAAUUAGUAAAUUAGAUCUCAAUGAAAACAUGAAGAAAUGUAAACUCUCAAUGAUACAAAAACCGUCCAAACGCCUGAAAACGUUUGAACCAAAGCGUGUUCUAUUUGGCGAGUUAAGUCCUAACAGACUUAAAAAAGACGUUAAUAGCAAACCCAAGGGAAAGAAAGAUGAAAUGAGUCUUUCCACGAUGGAAACCUAUGAAGAGAAACCUGAUAUUAAUGAUGUGGAUUAUUUACUAAAAAAGUUACCAGGUAUGAGUUUGAAAACGGAAGGUAAAGAAAUUAAUGAAAAUUCCAAUGAUUCAGUUCCAACAACCAGUCCUCCUAGACCACUAUGUGAUGCUCCGUUGUUCAUUUGUUACAAAUCAGGUGGACUCUGGUAUUCAGGACGGCAGAUGAAAAGAACACGAGAGGUGUUUCAGCAGAUGUUAGACGAGGAAAACAACAUCACACCGGUGCUGAUCCAACAAUUGAAAGCCCGAAAAAGAAACAUCUUCAACGGAAAGAAAUAAACAUGAAAGAAAUGUAAUUAAAAUGAGAUAAUAGUUACGUUUUUUCAAUUGUAUAAAGUUGUUGCACAGUUAUACUGAAUGUGAAGUGCAGUAGUCUUGAUUAUCUGAUUCAGGUUAUCGACCAUCCUGGUGGACAUAAAAAUAGGACUACAUUAUCUAACAAAAUGUUGUGCUAUAAUCCAAGUGUUUUGACACACGGUUAAACACACGGUUGCUCUAAAAAAACCCUUUUUUUUGCUACUCCUGACUACUUGGAAAAUAAACUCAGCUUCAUUCAAACAAUAAUCGUUAGAGAAAUUCGUCACUCAUGUCAAUAAGAAAUUACAAAAAGUACAAUUAUUGUAUUUGCAAUUUUGUAUUGUUUUAGUCGGCUAUAUUUAAGAGUUUUUUAUCUUGUCAGCUCUCCUUCCAUGUCUUGGUAAGCAGUACAAACAAUAUAUUGAUGGUAAUAAUAUAUAACUGGUAUUGUAGACUUGUAACAGUAUCCAACAAACUGUUUCAGUAGAUAUGGGAAAUACCAUUACCGUGCAAUAAUAGUCAGGAAUGUUCCCUUAGCCUUGUGAAAUAAUACUAUUAUUUUUGCUACUUGUUGAAAGAGGUCGCUAACCUCUUUUCAGGGGAAAAAAAACAAUUCAGAUUCAGAACUACGUAUUACUUUUUACAAUAGUAAAAGGGGCUACAGUAAACUGUUGGGGAUAUGAAUUUUACCCAUUGGUCUUCGUUAUGUAUUAGGUUUUGUUUAGAGAUUAGCCAUUUAACAAAUUCAUAUUUUCUUGGAUACAUAUUAUUAGCCUACAUAUCUCCUGUGACCACAAGGCUUUAUGAUUCUAAGUUAAAUUCAUGAAAUAUUACGAGUUAUUAGUUGUAAUUGUAAAAGGGGCCAUAUUAAAUUGUUUUAGGAAUGAGUUUUUCCCACCAAGGUAUAUUUAUUAGUUCAUAGUUUUUUAUAUUAUUCAGGUUUUGUAAUAUUUUGUUCCUGUUAAAAUGUAAUUCUUUGUUUGAAAUUUUGUUUGUGCUUUUGUAAUUAUUUUUAUUGUUUAAAUUUACAAUUUAAAACGAUCAUUGUAGUACACCAUUAUUUACUACAGCUAGCCUAUUACUUUUAUUUUCAGUGUUUAAAAAGUAAGAGGCGGUUUGGGAGCUCGAGUCAAGCUAGUACGCGCCUAGUGUUAGACGCGCCUAACUUUAGUACCCGGAUCAAAAACCAGGCUUGGGAGCUUGCAGCUAAGUUGUAAUGGUUGUAGAGCAAGUAUAGUCGUGACUAGAUAGACGGGGAAUCGCGGGGAAUUUAGGUUUUGACGUUGGCAGCGGCCACUGCAGACAACAACAAAAGAUGAACAGUUGAAGGGCUCCCACGAACAACGUUCCAAGCGCCGAGCUACUUGUUUUGAGUAAUCACGCCACAAAGUGUUUUAUGCAAAACUUUUUUAGAAUACAUACUUUUUGGUUUUUUUUGCCUGAAAUUUUUGGUAUGAGUCUAAAACGUCUAAAUAUAAUGAACAACUUAAGUUUUUAUUUCAUAUUGUUGUUUUAUAACUUUUUUUGUGGAAACAACGUUUCAAGCGACAGGCGCUUGAAACGUUGUUUCCCAAAUAGUUAUAUUUUUUUUAUUUUUCGAGGUGAAAAUUGCUUGUUUAUGUAUUAAGUAACUCCUUAAAGGGGUUGACGUUUUAUAAUUUAAUAUAUCAUUAUUUAGCUUAAUAAAUUCGAAUUUCUUUUAAUAGUCCCCAGAAUAAUGUCCUAUAUAAGUAUUCUUAAAACACAAUGUGGUUAAUUCCAAUAUAGUUUUUGUUAAUGCGAUGUUUUGAUAUCAUCAAAAUAUUAACAAUUUUAUUUAUAAAGGUCAAUGCUUUGAAACUUAGGCAGCAUCACUGCGAUGACUUUAUACGGACAGUGGCAGACAACGUGACGUCAUAGUCACGCUCUCACCCGGCCCAGAUUAAGGUCAUUUACCUCCCCAACCCCCCACAACCCCUCUACAUUCCUCCACUAUUCAUCACUGCUUCACCAUUAGCCACCAUCAUGCCCAUAAUCUUCCUGAUCUCCACACAUACAUACCUGUUCUGUACUGGACUUUUAACUAUUGCUAGCUUUGCGUGCGUUAGACCUUAAGAGUGUUCAUUAAGUUUGUGCUAUGUCAAAACUUAAAACUUUAAAAAUUCUAAAUAUUAUGUUAAUCAGUGUUCCACAACAACCAAGAGACUAUGUUGACCUCAUAGUAAAAAAAAUACCAUUUAAAAUCUUGAACAUGUUAAUAGAGAAAACCUAGGUACUAUAUUCUUAUUUUGUGUUCAGGUAUUUUAUAGAACUACUAAUUUAGCGAUUAUUUUUUAAAGUAUUGUAUGAACAUAUAUUAUUUAAAUUCCACUGUAUUUAAAUUGGCCUUUGUGAAAACAACAAAACUUAUACUUGAUAUUUUAUAGGCUCUAAGGUAAAAAAAACACGUAUGAAAUACAAGUACAUUUUAUUAGUAGAAAAGGAAAACAAUAUCAAAAUCAAAACUGAUAAAUACACAAGAAACAACGGAUCUUUAAAUUAACAUAUAUAAAAAUGUUUCCAUUUUUCUCCAUCUAUGCCACUGUGAUAUUUUCAUAAAAUUCUCUGAACUCUUGUGGUAUGUAUCUCAUCAUAUCCAGCAAAUCAGUCUUGAUCCCUAGUCGACCUGGGUACAAGUUUGGAAACUCUGCAACCUUUACUGGCGGGUAGACUCUGCCAUCCCUGGAGUUCCUAACUCUUUUUGCCAAGCAGUGUGUAGUCCAUGGCCGCAGAACAUUGUGUGUAGGUCUUGCACGAAGAGUAGCUGGAUCAUCUUUGGAUAUCUGAUACCACACAUGUUGCGUAAUACCAAAUUUUCCUGUGGCCAAGGAAUUCAAAACGAGGUCAGAGUUUUUGAAGUCAUCUGUGUCCAUAACUUGAACUUCAAAUGGAUUUGAGUCUUUUGCGUUAGCAAUAACACUAACCCAAUGAAAAGAAAUGUAAACCUUUGCCCCUUUCUUUGCUUUUUCAAUCAAAGCGAAAUCCCUGUCACAGGGGAGGAAGCUGUGCCCUGUUGUUAGGAACUUUUGUUCUACCGUGGUAAAGUAGUCACUUUGUAUUAAAUGUUGCAUUAAAGCUACCAUUCGCCAGUUGUUGUUCUGGCCGACACAUCUAUCCGACCAUAUUACUAGUGUUCGAGUCUCACCUACUGUUAGUUUUCUAAAAUUAGAGCUAACAUACUUGAGGACACACGAGGUGAUUUCUGCGGAACCUCUUUUUCCUACGGUUUCAUCCCAAAAAAACAUUGUUGCUUUAUUUAGGCCCAGGUUGUGUAUUGCUACAUUGUAGCAUGACAGUUGUCUUUGAUAAAAUAUGUUAUUAUGAGUGAGAAAUGGGCAAAAAAGAACCUGUUCAAGGUCUACGCAAAUAGCAACUAUGUUGGGGGUCGCUUUGGCUACUGCUGUGUCUUCGGCUAAAGAUUUGUAGGCCAGGUCUGCUUUCAUAUGAUGUAUUUGACUUUCCCUUUCAAUUGCUUGCUUUUCAGUUUCAUUGGAAGCCGCAACUAGAUUAAUGAAGAGGCGAUCACAAUAUGCGCAUGUGUCAGAUCUAGGAAGGCCAAACCUUAGGUUGAAAUCAGAUUUGAAUAUGUUUCAGUACAUAUGCAAAGAAACAUUAGCAUCUGGGUGCUUAAUGAGGAAAAGUUUCCUCAUUUUCUUUACUGAUAAGUUGGGGUCCAAGCAUUGUUUUUUGCUGUCAUUACGGGAAUAAUGAUUCUCCUGCAAUGGGAAAGGUUUAAUGUGUUCUUUAACUAAUUCUUUUGUGUCGUCUUGUAUUUUGUGUGGGCGGUUAUUGUGAGUCCCGCGGUCAUCAGUCAGAGGUUGAUCAAACUUGAUCUUUCCCAAAAGCCAUUGCACUCGGCGCGGUGUGAUCGUAAAUACAUUGCAAAGAGUUUUCCUGCAUACUCGCAACAGCCUAUCUUUACGAGGAAUGUAAUAUUCAGGUGUACAAUGUCUUUGAGAGACAUCUUCACUCACCCUCCUUCGUUUCACUUCUCCCACCUUAAUGCAUGCGUUGGCCAGGAAUUGCGACUGGUUGUUGUAGUCCAGCUUGUGGAAAUUAGUGAAGUGCUGCAUUUUCUCUUCGUAGGUUAGCUGAUCGCAUUGAAACUGGCAAGAACAUACUCUGCCCUGAAACAAAAACAAAAAUCGUUACAUUUACAUUGAUACAGUUAUUAUUGGAAGAAAAUAUGUACUAUAAACUCAUACGAACCUAUUACCAAAAUUAUUAUGGGUCCGUAAAAAUAAUGAUUUUUUUGCCAAAAGGCGAUCAUCUUUAAAAAAAUAUUUUUUUUAACUAGGUAUUUAGCAGGAUAUGCACAUUAAAACAUAAGAUAAGAUUAAAAACAUUGUUAAAAAAAACUUUCUUAUAGGCCUACAUGAGCAUCAGGUGGCGAUAGAAACGUUGUUCCACUUACCUCACUUGGUGGUAGUUUGCCAGGAACUGCUUUCUUCCUUUUUGAAAUGUAAGGCUCCCCACUAUCCCUUGAAUUCUUGCGAAUCUUAUCCUUCCAUACAACAAGUUUUAAUUUACGUUUUUUACCGGCAUUUAGCUUAUAUUGGUCGCCGGGACUCAAUAAAAUGCUUGACCCUGAAGCCAUGAUGUGGCGAAUGAGACGUUGUUCGUGCGGCGUAGCUGGAGUCUGGGAAACACGUGCUCCACUAAAACAUUGGUAGCAGGCGUACCACUGCAGUUAUGACAAAACAAAAUAUCCCUACUGUUAGAGGAAGGCGUAUGGCACGUUGUUCGCUCAAUAUCUCCACUUUGAAAAAUUUGGCGCUUGGAACGUUGUUCGUGGGAGCCCUUCAAUUGAAGAUGAAUAAAAUUUAAUCUUGGUAUAUCAAUGGUGGCUAAUUAGUAGACUAUGGUGGAAGUUUCUGCAUUGUACAAUUGCAAAAAUGUAGUUUUUGCGAGGUCCUUGUUUUACAUCUCAAUGACUAAAGAACCGCAAUUCUUUAUAUUACAUUCUUAUAAGAGUCAAUUUAAUUUUCAUUUUACGUUUAAAAUUAUUUAAUCUGUUGUCUUUAAGUACUACCCCUUAUAAAUACGUACAGAGCAACAUAGGUUUCUGAAAAACAAUAUAAUCUCUUUCAGAGAUCAGAAACAUUAUUCAUUUAUCAAAAAUUACCCUGUGUGUGUGGGAACACACUGAAACUCGGUCAUGCAAUAAUUAAAAAGCCUCAAAAUUUAACUGUAAUUUCCCUGUAUAAUAUAGGGGUAUUGACGGGAAUAAAAAUUAUUUUAAGUAAUUAUGGAGGUUAUGAUUGUGUGAAGCCAAGGCAAAUGUAAAAUAUAUCUUUUAACAUUUAUAACAAAAAAAAAAAAAAACAACUUUUACUAAUUCUUAAAAUUUUUAACAUGACACCCUUUUAGCGAAUUUCUUUAUAGGGAAGUAGCUAUUACCGUAGGUGGCCCAUUGUUCCGGGACCGAUAUACUUUUUCAUUUUGAUCUCCCUAGACGCCAAAAACACUAUUUGUUCAAAUUUUAUAUAUGUUUAGCUUAUCUUAUUAAUAUUAUAAAUGUGAAAGUUUGUGUGUUUGUUUGAAGUUCAAUCAUGCAUUACUGGACGGAUUGGGCUGAAAUUUGGCAUGAUGAUAGCACAUUCCCUAUUAAUAUAUAGGCAUAUUCUUAUUUAAAAAAUCCUUUCGGGGUUCCGCUCCAAUGGCUCUGUAUUUCCCCAUGUUAACCUUAUGAUUAUUCAUGUUUAAAGGAAAUUAAAUAAUUUAAGCGAGAUUUUUGUUUUAUUUUGAACAACAGAAACCUUAAAAUAACUUUUAUCAAGAUUUUUGUUUUAUUUUGAACAACAGAAACCUUAAAAAAAACUUUUAUCAAAUAUACUUUAAGAGUAAUGAAAUUGUUCAGGAUUUAAUAACAAAUUCCAAUAUAACAUUCUUUUAUUUAAUAUAUAAAUAAUAACAUGCUAAUGAGGUCACACCGGCCAUGUUAACUUAAACCUGCUCCCUGGCAGUACUAAAGCUGUGGACUAAACUCACUAAUUUUUAUGACAAAAAUAUAUUUCUUAGUCCUGAAAUUGGUCUCCCAAACCCACCGAAAUUAUCUCUUAGGCUGGCGCCUGAGUCCACCAGACUCCCAAACGAACAAUAUUUUAGAAAUCCCUGCGAGAUUAUCCCUGCACAAGUCAGGCGCGCGCCUUACUGAGCCCAAGCUCACAAACCUGUUUUCUAGGCGGCAACAUAAAUGCUGUAAAUAUCCGGUUCUUAGUCGGGGACUAGCGCUAAUACCGAGCUCCCAAACCGCCCCUAAAAAUGUUAAAUGCCUUUUGGUAGUAAACUACUACUCUAGUAGAUACUAUAUCAUUGAGUUAUUCCUACUAAUUGUGAUAGCUUUAUGGGAAACAUUUCCUAAUUUUUGCAAUACUACAAUAUGUUAGUUUAAGAUUUUCACAUAAUUUCAUAAAUAAAACUUGUUUUUUAAUCAA